AGAACGAACGCUGGCGGCAUGCCUAAUACAUGCAAGUCGAACGAACACUUCGGUGUUAGUGGCGCACGGGUGCGUAACGCGUGGGAAUCUGCCCUUGGGUUCGGAAUAACAGUUGGAAACGACUGCUAAUACCGGAUGAUGACGAAAGUCCAAAGAUUUAUCGCCCAGGGAUGAGCCCGCGUAGGAUUAGCUAGUUGGUGAGGUAAAGGCUCACCAAGGCGACGAUCCUUAGCUGGUCUGAGAGGAUGAUCAGCCACACUGGGACUGAGACACGGCCCAGACUCCUACGGGAGCAGCAGUAGGGAAUAUUGGACAAGUGGGCGCAAGCCUGGAUCCAGCCAAUCGCCGCGUGAGUGACUGAAGGCCUUAGGGUUGUUAAACGCCCUUUUACCCGGAGUA
rnacentral:rRNA from 1 species